UGCCGCGUCGCCAUAAAUGCGCGAUGUACUUUACAAUUUCUGCAAGUAAACGACGACAGUUAAUGUAUGUGGAAUGCAAGGCGUUAGGGAUAUCUGGACGCCGUGCGGACAGUGAACAACCCUAGGAAAGCGAUGUAAAAGGAAUUGUUUCUGCACUCAACAUAAAAUCACAGUACUCGUAUGCCAACUUUCUGUAUCUAUAUGUUUCAGGGAGAAGCUACCAGAAAAAUUGCGACCCACGCCACGCCUAUGUUAUCGAAUGAGAUGGUACCCUGAAAAGGGUUCUUCUCGCCAUCCCGGCAAUUGGUGUAGUACUGGUGCCAGUUUAUGCAACCACUUUGAUUACUCAUGUAUUCCUCUAAUGCAUGCCGCUGUGAUCGUUCUUGCUACAGAUGAAGUCCUGCUCCUGGGAGAUGGAAAAAUACAACGACAAGUCUCUGAAACACAAUCACUCCGAUUAGCAUCCGGAUGACCAUCGGCGAACAGAAAAUUAUUAGGCACGACGAGGUGUUAGUCACAGUCAUAUAGAGUUGAUUAGAGAUGGUUAAUUUUGAAAAUGAUUUCGUUUCGUUCCGCGAAGAAAUCCUUUUCGAAUUCGUUCAUUUUCAUUCGUCUGUCAACAGGUAAAGUCGCCAGUCGCGGGCGAGUGAUCGAAUGUGAAACAAAUCGAAAUCAAAUGAACGUAACAUAAGAUGAGGGUGAGGGGGGGCGCAACACAAACGAACGAAUGCUUAGACACAAGAAGAUUUUUAUACGAAUGCAACCAGAGAUUUCUAACCCACAGAACAGAGUGAAGACGAAUAGUUGCCUAUUGCGUCCCUUUCCGACAUGCUCAUUCACCACGUACACGUACAUAAGACACCAGGGGUAUAGAAUAGAAUACAAGAGUGAAGUGAAGAAGAAAUGAUGCCAGGCAGACCACCAACAAGCACAAGUUAAAGAAUUAAGACUGAUUGAAAUCGGUGAAGGGAUAAACUUCAGUUUAGAAUUUCACGGAGCUGAGCUGGAGGAGGAGAUUUUCCCGUCCGAAGUUUCACUCCGACGCAAAUCCAAUAUGAAACAUGGAAAACUCAUUAAAUUUGCAUAAGCCCGCCACGCCGACUGGCCUUCUAACGAAUUUUAUACUUUUCACAGCAUUCGGGAUAUGGACUUUUUUAUUGUUCUUUAAUGAAGUCCAUGAAUGCAGCGCACACACUAACUGCAAACUGUUUCACUUUUCCGAAUGAAUAUUGCCGCUGACGGCUUUUUUUUUUAUUAUUAUGCGCGUUGUCUGUUCGGUGAAUUAUUAGUAAAACGAGUGGAUAAUACGCGCGCAGUUCAGUCGCAUGCAAUCGCUCAACUUGAAUUUUAUUGACUGUAAUAA